rnacentral:rRNA from 1 species
UCAAAUGAAUUGACGGGACCCGCACAAGCAGCGGAGCGUGUGGUUUAAUUCGUUGCUACACGAAGAACCUUACCUGGGUUUGACAUAUAAGUUGUAGGGAACUGAAAAGGGACCGACCCUUCGGGGAGCUUAUACAGGUGUUGCAUGGCUGUCGUCAGCUCGUGUCGUGAGAUGUUCGGUUAAGUCCGCUAACGAGCGCAACCCUCGCCGUAUGUUACAGGUGUCAUACGGGACUGCCGGUAAAAAGCCGGAGGAAGGUGAGGAUGAUGUCAAGUCCUCAUGGCCUUUAUGACCAGGGCUACACACGUACUACAAUGGCCGGUACAAAGGGCAGCGACACAGCGAUGUGAAGCGAAUCCCGAAAAGCCGGUCUCAGUCCGGAUUGGAGUCUGCAACUCGACUCCAUGAAGUUGGAAUCGCUAGUAAUCGCGGAUCAGCACGCCGCGGUGAAUACGUUCCCGGGCCUU